CAGCAGUGAGGAAGGUGGGUAUGUUAAUAGCAUACUCAUUUGACGUUAGCUGCAGAAGAAGCACCGGCUAACUCCGUGCCAGCAGCCGCGGUAAUACGGAGGGUGCGAGCGUUAAUCGGAAUUACUGGGCGUAAAGCGCAUGCAGGUGGUUUGUUAAGUCAGAUGUGAAAGGCCCGGGGCUCAACCUCGGAAUUGCAUUUGAAACUGGCAAACUAGAGUACUGUAGGAGGGGGUAGAAUUUCAGGUGUAGCGGUGAAAUGCGUAGAGAUCUGAAGGAAUACCGGUGGCGAAGGCGGCCCCCUGGACAGAUACUGACACUCAGAUGCGAAAGCGUGGGGAGCAAACAGGAUUAGAUACCCUGGUAG
rnacentral:rRNA from 1 species